GAUGAACGCUAGCGGCAGGCCUACCACAUGCAAGUCGAGGGGUAACUAGAGUGAUAGCAAUAUUACUUUGGCUAGACCGGCGCACGGGUGCGUAACACGUAUGCAACCUACCUUAUACUGGGGAAUAACUUCGAGAAAUCGGCGCUAAUACCCCAUAACAUUGCGAAGAGGCAUCUCUUUGCAAUUAAAGCUCCGGCGGUAUAAGAUGGGCAUGCGUCCAAUUAGCUAGUUGGUGGGGUAACGGCUCACCAAGGCUACGAUUGGUAGGGGUUCUGAGAACAUGAUCACCCACACUGGUACUGAGACACGGACCAGACUCCUGCGGGAGGCAGCAGUGAGGAAUAUUGCGCAAGGGACGAAAGUCUGACGCAGCCAUGCCGCGUGCAGGAUGACGGCCCUAUGGGUUGUAAACUGCUUUUGUACGGGAAUAAACCCUUCUACGUGUAGGAGGCUGAAGGUACCGUAAGAAUAAGCACCGGCUAACUCCGUGCCAGCAGCCGCGGUAAAAC
rnacentral:rRNA from 1 species